rnacentral:rRNA from 1 species
UACGGGGGGAGCAAGCGUUGUUCGGAUUUACUGGGCGUAAAGGGCGCGUAGGCGGCCACCGCAAGUCAGUUGUGAAAUCUCUGGGCUUAACCCAGAAAGGUCAACUGAUACUGCGGGGCUAGAGUGCAGAAGGGGCAACUGGAAUUCUCGGUGUAGCGGUGAAAUGCGUAUAUAUCGAGAGGAACACCUGCGGCGAAGGCGGGUUGCUGGGCUGACACUGACGCUGAUGCGCGAAAGCUAGGGGAGCGAACGGG